rnacentral:rRNA from 2 species
UGUCCGGAAUUAUUGGGCGUAAAGCGCGCGCAGGCGGCUUCUUAAGUCUGAUGUGAAAUCUCGGGGCUCAACCCCGAGCGGCCAUUGGAAACUGGGGAGCUUGAGUGCAGAAGAGGAGAGUGGAAUUCCACGUGUAGCGGUGAAAUGCGUAGAGAUGUGGAGGAACACCAGUGGCGAAGGCGACUCUCUGGUCUGUAACUGACGCUGAGGCGCGAAAGCGUGGGGAGCAAACAGGAUUAGAUACCCCUGGUAGUCCACGCCGUAAACGAUGAGUGCUAGGUGUUAGGGGUUUCGAUGCCCGUAGUGCCGAAGUUAACACAUUAAGCACUCCGCCUGGGGAGUACGGCCGCAAGGCUGAAACUCAAAGGAAUUGACGGGGACCCGCACAAGCAGUGGAGCAUGUGGUUUAAUUCGAAGCAACGCGAAGAACCUUACCAGGUCUUGACAUCCUUUGACCACCCAAGAGAUUGGGCUUCCCCUUCGGGGGCAAAGUGACAGGUGGUGCAUGGUUGUCGUCAGCUCGUGUCGUGAGAUGUUGGGUUAAGUCCCGCAACGAGCGCAACCCUUGAUCUUAGUUGCCAGCAUUGAGUUGGGCACUCUAAGGUGACUGCCGGUGACAAACCGGAGGAAGGUGGGGAUGACGUCAAAUCAUCAUGCCCCUUAUGACCUGGGCUACACACGUGCUACAAUGGAUGGUACAAAGGGCAGCGAAACCGCGAGGUGAAGCCAAUCCCAUAAAGCCAUUCUCAGUUCGGAUUGCAGGCUGCAACUCGCCUGCAUGAAGCCGGAAUUGCUAGUAAUCGCGGAUCAGCAUGCCGCGGGGAAUACGUUCCCGGGUCUUGU